rnacentral:tRNA from 1 species
UAGCUAAGUCCGGUAAAGCGCCGGUCUAGCGUACACGGAGUUGUGAGUUCGAAUCUCAC